GACGAACGCUGGCGGCGUGCUUAACACAUGCAAGUCGAACGGUGAAGCGCCUUCCUUUUUGGUGGGUGUGGAUGAGUGGCGAACGGGUGAGUAACACGUGAGUAGCCUGCCCCCUUCUUCUGGAUAACCGCAUGAAAGUGUGGCUAAUACGGGAUAUUCUGGGUCUGUCGCAUGAUGGGUCUGGGAAAGAUAUUGUUUCGGUGGGGGAUGGGCUCGCGGCCUAUCAGCUUGUUGGUGGGGUGAUGGCCUACCAAGGCGGUGACGGGUAGCCGGCCUGAGAGGGUGGACGGUCACACUGGGACUGAGACACGGCCCAGACUCCUACGGGAGGCAGCAGUGGGGAAUAUUGCACAAUGGGCGCAAGCCUGAUGCAGCGACGCCGCGUGAGGGAUGGAGGCCUUCGGGUUGUGAACCUCUUUCGCCAGUGAAGCAGGCCUGCCUCGUUUGUGGGUGGGUUGACGGUAGCUGGAGAAGAAGCGCCGGCUAACUACGUG
rnacentral:rRNA from 1 species